rnacentral:rRNA from 1 species
UACGUAGGGUGCGAGCGUUAAUCGGAAUUACUGGGCGUAAAGCGUGCGCAGGCGGUUCUACAAGACAGAUGUGAAAUCCCCCGGGCUUAACCUGGGAACUGCAUUGGUGACUGCAUUGCUGGAGUAUGGCAGAGGGGGGUGGAAUUCCACGUGUAGCAGUGAAAUGCGUAGAGAUGUGGAGGAACACCGAUGGCGAAGGCAGCCCCCUGGGCCAAUACUGACGCUCAUGCACGAAAGCGUGGGGAGCAAACAGG